rnacentral:rRNA from 1 species
UACGUAGGCAGCAAGCGUUGUUCGGAAUUACUGGGCGUAAAGGGCUCGUAGGCGGCCAACUAAGUCAGACUGAAAUCCCCUCGGCUUAACCGGGGGAACUGCGUCUGAUACUGGAUGGCUUAGUUUGGGAGAGGGAUGCGGAAUUCCAGGUGUAGCGGUGAAAUGCGUAGAUAUCUGGAGGAACACCGGUGGCGAAGGCGGCAUCC